ensembl:misc_RNA 7SK 7SK RNA
GGAUGUAAGGGUCAUCUGGCUGUGACAUCUGUCACCCCAUUGAUCUCCAGGUUUGAUUCGGCUGAUCUGGUUGGCUAGUCGAGUAUCCCCUUCCUCCCUCAUGGCUCUAUGUGCACCCCUCUUGAACCAGGCUUGAUUGCAAAAGACAUCCUUCCCUGAUAGAGGAGGACCAUCUUAGGUCAAGGGUAUAUGAGUAGCUGCACUCCCCUGCUAGAAUCUGUUAACAAGCCCUCAAGGUCCAUUUGUAGGAGAAUGUAGGGUAGUCAAGCUUCCAAGACUCCAGACACAUCCAAAUGUGGCAUUGCAUAUGGCAGCCUGCCUUUCUUU